rnacentral:pre_miRNA from 1 species
GGAAACUAAAAAACUACCGUUGGAUUAAAAAAUAGACGUCCAAGAUUCGUCCACGUCAUCAUGAGUAGAAAUUUUACUCACGGUUACUCAUAAGUAAAAAUUUUACUGUGCUCGUGAUGAUGUGGACGAAUCUCAGACGUCCAUUUUUCGAUCCAACGGUAGUUUCUAAAUUUCC